UACCUGCAGCUCAAGUGGUGGCCGUUAUUAUUGGGCCUAAAACGUCCGUAGCCGGUUUCAUAAAUGCCUGGGUAAAUCGUACGGCUUAACCGUAUGGAUUCCGGGUAGACUGUUUAACUUGAGACCGGGAGAGGCUAGAGGUACUCCUGGGGUAGAGGUGAAAUUCUGUAAUCCUAGGGGGACCACCAGUGGCGAAGGCGUCUAGCUAGAACGGGUCUGACGGUGAGGGACGAAGCCCUGGGGAGCAAACGGGAUUAGAUACCCCGGUAGUCCAGGGUGUAAACGCUGCUCGCUUGAUGUUAGUCGGGCUCCGAGCCCAACUAGUGUCGGAGAGAAGUUGUUAAGCGAGCUGCCUAGGAAGUACGGUCGCAAGACUGAAACUUAAAGGAAUUGGCGGGGAGCACCGCAACGGGUGGAGCGUGCGGUUU
rnacentral:rRNA from 1 species